CUGUAGGACAGCUGUGAGAUGAUACCGCUGUGUGUUUGUACAAUGCCCGAUCAAGAUCAAUGACCUGGCCUUGGACAAGGAUUUUCUCCAGACACCCACGCAGGUAUGCCAUCACGCAGUGAAAGCACAAACCAGUCCCGUCCUUCUUUGGUGUCUCCAUAAAAGAUGGCCCCCUCUGGGUCAAGGGUCCGAAACUCAAAGAAAGAUCUAAUGCUGUAUGUGUGAGGUGGCUGAAAUGUUUCCCUGCUCACUGCUGAUCAAAGGCCGUCUUUAACAUGACAUAUGGAUCAGCAGACACUAAUGAGAGGGCAGUGGCCAGCUGAAUCUCCACAGUAACAAAAGAGGCUGGGACAUCUGGAGUCAGCCACACACAGACUCCUGUCCCUCUGUCACGAUACACAGAAUUAGGAACAACCAAUGUUAAGUUCACUGAAGGCAGAUAAAAUCAACACGAUGCAGGAACAAACACAAACAGAGGAGCAGUCACGACAUGGAGACCAGGAGAUUCGACUUGGAAAAAGGAGGCAGCAUCAGAGAGAGUCCAAGGAGUUAUGGACAGUUUCCCAAGCUUACUUAUGGAGCCUUGUGAUUACUAAACUGGAACAACAGGGCUUCCCUGAGAACUCAUGAUCAAAGCACGGCCCAUUUUCUGCUUUUUUGUGGCUUCCGUUUGGAAGAGGAAGAUCUAGACAGACUGAGGGAAGACGAGCUCAAAGCUUCCAUCUAGUGGUCAUGUCUCUCCUCUGAUUUGUGGUUUGACAAGUUUUUCAGCAUCUCUUGCAUUUACACGACUGUAACACGAUCAUAAUGUAACAUUUGUGCAUAUACCUUUAAUAGCUACAUCAUGAAAAACUGAACAGUAGAUAAUCCUAUAGCACCAUAUGUGGUAUUAAAGGCGUCAUUAAAUUUUUGGGUAAUAUUAGGAGAGCCUGUGUCAUGACUAAUUUCUUGUUUGGUGUAAAAGUGAGAUUAUAGUUUUGCUCUAAUUUCUGGAAUUGCACUGCAAUAUGUAUUGUGUGUGUAUAUGCACUCACUGUUGU